rnacentral:lncRNA from 1 species
AGGACUUCCCAAGAGUGUCCCAUGGAACCUGAGUUCUAAGGACGGUACAUGAAAAAAAUCAACAUGGGUUCCAUGAUCAAAGAAGUUUGGGAAAUGGGCUAAAUGAAAGGACUUCCAAGGCCUUUUAUCUGCUAAUGAGAAAGGUGGUUUCCAAAAGGAAAAGCUUUGGGAGAUAGAAGUCCUCGUUUUGACCUCUGCCCUCCUUGUACACCAGGAGCCAGAAAAACUUCAUCUCUUUUACAAGAAACAUUGAGAUUCCUGUAAAAUUAAGAAAUCACACAAUUUGAUGGUCUACAUUAUCUAAAGCAAAUGAGACUUCUAUUUGGAACAAAGACUACCUUGUUGGGAAAUGAGUCUGCAAGUUAAAGUGUUUUCUGGAUCCAGUAUCUGCCGGAGGAGCCCCACCUUCUGCUACUAUUAUGUUCUUCAGAUGAGUAGAAGAGAGUGGGGAGGGAGAGAGCAGGAAGAAGAAAGGAAGAAUAAUGUCUUGAAAUUGUUUUCUAAGGAUAAUGGUCUCCAGCUUCGUCAAUGUUCCUGCAAAGGACAUGAUGCUGACUUUGAAGAUGCAAGCUUCCACAUCUACAGCCUCAAGGAAACAAAUUCAGCCAACCAACUGAGGGAGCUUUCCUUGUCCUGCCUCAAGAUGAGAUCACAGUCUGCCCAACACCAUGAUUUAGGCCUUGUGACACCUGGUAUGGAAGACCCAGUUAAGUUCUCUCCAAACUCUUGACCCACAGAACCUGUGAGAAAAUAUAUGGAUAUUAUUUUAAACUGCUAAAUUUGUAGUAAUUUGUUAUGCAGCAAUAAAAAAA